rnacentral:lncRNA from 1 species
UAUUCAUCUUAUAAUUAUUCUAGUUCUAACACACUUAGUCCUCUUAACUUUUUGAAUUAUAAGGUAUUACAUUUAACUACUACUGCUUCUUGAAGUAGAGAAAUUAUUUGAGAAACAGAUUUGUUAGAUUUGACUCGAAAUUGAUAAUCGACUCAAGCUCGGAUUUUCGACUCGCCAACAGUUUCGCGGUGCGACCAAAUUGCAAAAUAAAAUUGUGAAGAAAAAUUGAAUGUCUAUGGUGGGUAGUAGAGGGCUCAGGCCGACAGGCCCAAGCUCGUUAAGAGUGUUCCUUUUUCGUUUUUUGUCCUAGAAGCGUGUGAUCGUGGUCGGUUGUACUAUCUGAAUAUUGUAUUCCCUUUUUCGUUUGAUAGUGAAGUUCUCUUCUCCCUCACCCGUGGUUUUUCCCUGCAAAGAAUUUUCUACGUAAAUCUGUGUGUUUUUUCUUUUGUUUCUGCUUAUAGUUUGUUUAUUUUGUGUUCGUCAUUUUGUUUUCGUUCGUGCAUUUGUCAUAAC